GACGAACGCUGGCGGCGUGCUUAACACAUGCAAGUCGAACGGAAAGGCCUCUUUCGGGGGGUACUCGAGUGGCGAACGGGUGAGUAACACGUGAGUAACCUGCCCUUGACUUUGGGAUAACUUCAGGAAACUGGGGCUAAUACCGGAUAGGAGCUCCUGCUGCAUGGUGGGGGUUGGAAAGUUUCGGCGGUUGGGGAUGGACUCGCGGCUUAUCAGCUUGUUGGUGGGGUAGUGGCUUACCAAGGCUUUGACGGGUAGCCGGCCUGAGAGGGUGACCGGCCACAUUGGGACUGAGAUACGGCCCAGACUCCUACGGGAGGCAGCAGUGGGGAAUAUUGCACAAUGGGCGGAAGCCUGAUGCAGCAACGCCGUGUGCGGGAUGACGGCCUUCGGGUCGUAAACCGCUUUCGCUCAUGACGAAGCUUUGUGUGACGGUAGUGGGUAAAGAAGCACCGGCUAACUACGUG
rnacentral:rRNA from 1 species